GUGUUCUUUUGGAACAAAAGCUGCGGGAAUUAACAAAUAAAGUUGAAUCAUCUCAUUGUAACAUAAUCAGAGACGAGACUUCUGCUAGUUCUACAUCAAGUUUGCAGAAUUUCAUGUCCACAUUUAACGUGGUUAGCACCAUACCUGCCGUACAUGACAAGAGGAUUCAAUUUGUAGAAAAAGACAAGUCAGACCACCCACAUAACUUUGAUUGCUUUUCUGUGGAGUGUCCAAAGCUUACCAGGAACCAAAUGUGGCAGGUCCGUCUCUUAUGUGUUUAUGAUCGUAUUUUGCAGCAUUCUUUCUGGGUGUUAUGUAAUUCAUAUUGUUCCCUUCUUGGUAUUCAAUAUGUUUGAGUGCUAAAGCAACUUUUGAUGUAUUUUCAAAACCUAAAAACUAGUGAUUAGGUAUCAAGGUAAUUGUUUCCCCAGUGAGGAAAAUAAUAGUAUACAUCGAGGACUGUAAAAACUUGAACUUCUACUAGAGGCCAAAAAUGGUGCCAUCAUUCUUAACCAGUCUAAGAGGCAAGUGCAUUUUCCCUUCUGUUAAUUGUUUUUCUAGUGUUGUUGUUAUCCACUGUGUUUGUCAAUGGAAUUGAUUAUGUUAUGCUUCCACUGUAUCAUCUACUAUGUACCAGUUUAGACAUAAAUGAUAAACUUGGAGGAAUACAUGUUUUUACUGUUACCAAUAUGGUUCACAAUAUUUCAAACUCUGUUGAAACUAGCGCUGGUUCUUCUAUUGUAGUGGUGUUGAUCUAUUUCCUGGUAAUCUUGGUACAUUAUCUGUUUUAAGGAUAAGAGUUGGUGGCUUUAGUGAGUUGAGUGCAACAGUAGCAGAAGUUAUGGCCUAGUAUUUGCUGAAUUCCAUUUGUUUAUAGUCCUACAGAGUGGAUUCCAGAUUAUAAUUAGCUGGUACAGGUGCAAGUCCUUUUUAAUUAGGAUGAGCUUAAAAAGUUGUAGCUUGUACAGAAAUUUUUGUUGCUGGUUUUUUUAUAUCUUUAAAUUAUUGGCUUGCACUAAAUAAUGAUAUAAUUAUGUAACAGAAUCUUAUAGCACGAAUGAAAUAGUCGUGAUGCUAACUUGAUUUGAAAUUUCUGAUGAAAUGUAAUUAGUUUGUCUUUGACAGUUUGACAUCAUAAUUUAAUUGGCGCUAAUUUCUUAUGAACCUUUUCAGGAAUCUGAAGAAAUGGAAGAGCACAGCUGUAGCAGCAAUUGCAGCUUCACUGAAAUAGACCUUGAAUGUCGACAUCCUAGUCCAGUUUCAAUUCU
rnacentral:misc_RNA from 1 species